rnacentral:misc_RNA from 1 species
AAGUCGUAACAAGGUUUCCGUAGGUGAACCUGCGGAAGGAUCAUUACAGAGAACAGCACGGGGCGAUGGGUCUAAACCGCCCGCCGCCCUCGUCGAUCUCCAACCCUUUGUGUGCCGACAACGUUGCUUCGGGGGCGUCCCUUCGGGGGCCCCCGGAGGAUCAAUCAAACUCGUUUUAUUCCAGCGUCGGAGUCGUAUCUAAAUGAAACAAAA